rnacentral:rRNA from 1 species
UACGGAGGAUCCAAGCGUUAUCCGGAAUCAUUGGGUUUAAAGGGUCCGUAGGCGGUUUGGUAAGUCAGUGGUGAAAGCCCAUCGCUCAACGGUGGAACGGCCAUUGAUACUGCCAGGCUUUGAAAUUAUUAGGAAGUAACUAGAAUAUGUAGUGUAGCGGUGAAAUGCUUAGAGAUUACAUGGAAUACCAAUUGCGAAGGCAGGUUACUACUAAUGGAUUGACGCUGAUGGACGAAAGCGUGGGUAGCGAACAGG